rnacentral:lncRNA from 1 species
AGUUAGGAAAGACAGAACACACAUAUACGCAACAAGUUAUAGAAAGCAGGUUUAUUACUCACAGACAGGCAAUGAGGGACAACAGAAGCCUAGGAUUUAUCACCAGCCAGUCCUCCUCAAGGUUCAGGAAAGCUGCCUGGAGGAGAAGGAGUCUCAAAUGCACGGGCACCGCUUGCACUGCAGCCUGAGGAUCCCCAGAAAGCAGCAUCCCCACCCUCAGGUGGUAUGCUCUGGGACAAUAGGAAUGGCUGGGUUACAGCAUUAAAGUACAUUCUGUUUCUAGGGCAGCAUGACAACAGAGCCCCAACUGUCAGGCCAUUCUCCCUAUCUCAGCAUGUUACGUACCCAGCCGUUCUAGUGAUUAUUGAAAACUACAAGCAAGAAGGGUGCUGGGAGAAGGUCAGUUGGAUGCCUUCUGGAGAACUGUCCUUCCAAGGUGGAGGUAACUGCAUACGGAAGGGUAACAUUUGUGAUUGCAUCUCUGCCAAACAAGUUCAGGUGGCCGGCAUCCAUAUACCUGAGGGACUCAUGCUGUGCUGCCACUGGGCCAGUGAGCUUCUAUAUGCCCACAAAUGAGAAAAUAAGCAGACCAGUUCUGCAACAGCUGCCGGCCUGCCAGGAGACUCUGGAGUGCACAAAGGGCUGAAGUUACCACAGCAUAAAAAUGCCAGGAGUUUAGGAGCUACUGAGCAAAUCAAAGACUGAUGCAGAAGCAAACACCUUCACAGAGCAUUUCUAUUCUGUUCUAGCCUCUGGGCAGAUCCAUCUUGCUCGCUCUUUUUAUUUCAUGCAUAUUGAUUCUAGGACUGUUUUGUAUAGAUAUCGGCUGUAUCUCCUCAUAGAAAAAAGUGAAGGCAUAUAGAUGUGCAAUUACACUAGUUUAGCAACACAGCAUGAUGUACACAGUGAAUAAAACACAUUCUUCACCGGAGGUUUGAGCUUUCAGCAAACAGCCUGCCCUAAUUUGCCCUAAUGUUCUGUCCUCUGAGCGAUGGCAGUGAUGAGCAGAUAAUGGCACAGGGGGCUCCAGCCGAGCUGAAUGGAAGCAUACUGAGUUCAAAGCACUUUUGCUUUAAAGCAAACCCCUCAUUAAGAAACAUGCAAUGCAAUAUUGACUAUGGUAAGGAUGGAGGCAAUGGCGAAUGAAGACAGCAUUGGUAAAAAUAGCACACAUUUACUCCCAGCACCAGUAUUUAAUCCAUUAUGAAGUCAUUUCUUUCCCUUUUUCUAAUUCAACAUUCCUUUUAAAAGCCUCCUCCAACGUCAUUCAAUGAAAGCAUCUGUGAUUAUCUGAGUAGCAGGCCGCAAAGCUUCAGAUGAAAAAAGUGGUUAUUCCGGCGGCAGUCCUAGGAAGCCCAGCGCCCACUGCUCUUCCAGCCAAGAGGCCACCUUUGGAUGCUGUCUGAGACCUGGUUCCUCCUGCUAUCACACUUAACCUUUAUAUGAAGUGUUCUCCUUCAUUUAACUGUGCUAUAAAAUAAGAGACUUCAAUAAAUACAGCACCUGCAC